UACGUAGGGUGCGAGCGUUGUCCGGAAUUAUUGGGCGUAAAGGGCUCGUAGGCGGUUCGUCGCGUCGGCUGUGAAAUCCCGAGGCUCAACCUCGGGUCUGCAGUCGAUACGGGCGGACUGGAGUACUGCAGGGGAGACUGGAAUUCCUGGUGUAGCGGUGAAAUGCGCAGAUAUCAGGAGGAACACCGGUGGCGAAGGCGGGUCUCUGGGCAGUUACUGACGCUGAGGAGCGAAAGCGUGGGGAGCGGACAGG
rnacentral:rRNA from 1 species